rnacentral:rRNA from 1 species
GGAGCGGCCGAUGCCUGAUUAGCUAGUUGGUGGGGUAAGAGCUUACCAAGGCUACGAUCAGUAGUUGGUCUGAGAGGACGACCAACCACACUGGGACUGAGACACGGCCCAGACUCCUACGGGAGGCAGCAGUGGGGAAUUUUGGACAAUGGGCGAAAGCCUGAUCCAGCCAUGCCGCGUGAGUGAAGAAGGCCUUCGGGUUGUAAAGCUCUUUCAGUCGGAAAGAAACGAUUGUGAUUAAUACUUGCAAUUAAUGACGGUACCGACAGAAGAAGCACCGGCUAACUACGUGCCAGCAGCCGCGGUAAUACGUAGGGUGCGAGCGUUAAUCGGAAUUACUGGGCGUAAAGGGUGCGCAGGCGGUUUUGUAAGUCAGAUGUGAAAUCCCCGGGCUUAACCUGGGAAUU